AAUAAGCGGAGGAAAAGAAACCAACAGGGAUUGCCCCAGUAACGGCGAGUGAAGCGGCAACAGCUCAGAUUUGGAAUCUGGCCCCCUCCCGGGGGUCCGAGUUGUAAUCUGCAGAGGAUGCUUCUGGCGACGCGCCUUCCAAGUUCCCUGGAACGGGACGCCAUAGAGGGUGAGAGCCCCGUACGGUCGUGCGCCUAGCCUGUGUGAAGCUCCUUCGACGAGUCGAGUAGUUUGGGAAUGCUGCUCUAAAUGGGAGGUAUACGUCUUCUAAAGCUAAAUACCGGCCAGAGACCGAUAGCGCACAAGUAGAGUGAUCGAAAGAUGAAAAGUACUUUGAAAAGAGAGUUAAAUAGCACGUGAAAUUGCUGAAAGGGAAGCGCUUGUGACCAGACUUGGCCCCGUCGGAUCACCCAGCUCUCGGGCUGGGGCACUCCGGCGAGGCCAGGCCAGCAUCAGCCCGCCGCGGGGGAUAAAGGUGGCGGGAAAGUGGCUCCCUCGGGAGUGUUAUAGCCCGCUACGUAAUACCCUGGGGCGGACUGAGGUACGCGUUCUGCAUGGAUGCUGGCGUAAUGGUCAUCAGUGACCCGUCUUGAAACACGGACCAAGGAGUCGUCUUCGUAUGCGAGUGUUCGGGUGUCAAACCCCUGCGCGGAAUGAAAGUGAACGUAGGAGAGAGCUUCGGCGCAUCUCCGACCGAUCCUGAUGUUCUCGGAUGGAUUUGAGUAAGAGCAUACGGGGCCGGACCCGAAAGAAGGUGAACUAUGCCUGCGUAGGGUGAAGCCAGAGGAAACUCUGGUGGAGGCUCGUAGCGGUUCUGACGUGCAAAUCGAUCGUCAAACGUGGGCAUGGGGGCGAAAGACUAAUCGAACCUUCUAGUAGCUGGUUUCCGCG
rnacentral:rRNA from 1 species